rnacentral:rRNA from 1 species
GACGAACGCUGGCGGCGUGCUUUACACAUGCAAGUCGUACGGUAAGGCCCUUUCGGGGGUACACGAGUGGCGAACGGGUGAGUAACACGUGAGUAACCUGCCCACAACUUUGGGAUAACGCUAGGAAACUGGUGCUAAUACUGGAUAUGUGCUCCUGCUGCAUGGUGGGGGUUGGAAAGCUCCGGCGGUUGUGGAUGGACUCGCGGCCUAUCAGCUUGUUGGUGGGGUAGUGGCCUACCAAGGCGGCGACGGGUAGCCGGCCUGAGAGGGUGACCGGCCACAUUGGGACUGAGAUACGGCCCAGACUCCGACGGGAGGCAGCAGUGGGGAAUAUUGCACAAUGGGCGCAAGCCUGAUGCAGCAACGCCGCGUGCGGGAUGACGGCCUUCGGGUUGUAAACCGCUUUCAGCAGGGACGAAGCUUUUUGUGACGGUACCUGCAGAAGAAGCACCGGCUAACUACGUG